rnacentral:rRNA from 1 species
UACGUAGGGUGCGAGCGUUAAUCGGAAUUACUGGGCGUAAAGCGUGCGCAGGCGGUUUUGUAAGACAGGUGUGAAAUCCCCGGGCUUAACCUGGGAACUGCGCUUGUGACUGCAAGACUCGAGUACGGUAGAGGGUGGUGGAAUUUCCUGUGUAGCGGUGAAAUGCGUAGAUAUAGGAAGGAACACCAGUGGCGAAGGCGACCACCUGGACUGAUACUGACACUGAAGUGCGAAAGCGUGGGGAGCAAACAGG